rnacentral:lncRNA from 1 species
UUUGGGGUUCCUCAGUUGCAGUGAGAUGUGAGGCACUUGCAGAGACUCAGUCCACCACCCUGGGCAGCUUUCACCACCCUGGGCAGCUUUUCCGAGACGUAGGGACUGGCUUGCCGUAAUUCAUAGCUUCUGCUGUCCCUUGCUACAUACCUCCUGUUUGGUCACAAACUAGGAUUGCAGCAUCUGCUUGUAGGCUCAAAAUAAAGGGAUGGAGAAAAAUCGACCAAGCAAAUGGAAAACAGAAAAGAGCAACUUGCUUCCUGAAAAUUCACGCUCCAGCUCCCUGCCACCUCCACAUCUCCCAGUCAGCCUCUUGUUGGCACACUGAAUCACUCUGGGGCCAUAUGUUUCAGGCUUCGUAUUAAGUGUCAAAGAUCCCAUGACAAGACAGCUCCCCUGCUUGCUGGGAGGACGUGGUGAGGACAGGGUACAUCUGAAACCUCUGGUGUGUCUGGCAGAGUUGCAAACGACUAGAUUCCAUCCAAGAUCAAAUGAAUCAGAAUCUGUGGUGAGUGUCCUGGGAAUUAUACCACAUAAACUUUUGUGGGUUAGAGAUUGUGUCUUGUUCUUCAUUUUAUUCCCAGUAGUAAGCACAAAUCCUGAAACAGAGCAGACACUUAAUACCUAUUUGCUAAAUUGAAUCAUUUUACAAAUAUGUGAGUGUCUUCUAUGGAUCAGACAUUAUCCUAGGCGCUUGUAUCAAGGAAGAAAAUAGACAAAAAUCUCCAUGUUCCACGAAGUUUGGAAGAGAGAGGGAAAGACAAUCUAAACAUAAUAAUGAAAUAAACUGCACAGUGUGCUAAAGGCUGAUAUGCUACAGGGGAUAAAAGUAGAGCAGGGUAAGGGAAAAUAGGGAAAAUCAAGAAGGUGGGUGAUGAAAGAAGGAAAUCAGCAGUAUUAAUUGAGGUGCCAGAAUAGGUGUCCUUGAGAAGGUGACAUUUGAGCAAGGACUCAAAGAAGGUAAGGAAGUCAGCCUAAAAGACACCUGGGGGAGAAAAACCCCAGGAAGAGAAAACAACUAGCACAAAAGAAGUAAGUCAGGAGUGUGCCUGGCACAUCUGAGUGACAGCAAAUAACCUCCUGGGCCUGGAUCAGAGUGAACAAGGGAGAGAGAAGCAGAAGAGAUAAGGGACAGGUCAUGUGUAACCUCAUAGGCCAAUGUAAGGACUUUAAAUUAAAUGAGAGAAUGUGUUAAUGAUUGAAUGAGUUAACAAAUGAAGUUUCUACCAUGUCUUGUGGUAAGUACUACAUAAAGAAAUUCAGAUGGUGCUCAGAGGAGAGCUUAUAGUCAGCAUUCAAAUAUUGUUUUAAUAUUAGAUAUUAUCUUUUUGCAAUUAAAAAGUGCAUUUUACCAUCAUCCAUCUUGCCAAUGGCUAGUGAAAAUUAAAUAUGAUUCUAAUAAGAGCAGCACUUCUUCUGUUUUCUUUUUUCUUAAUAAGUGCACUAUUUUUAAAGGUAAUCAACUCCUCCUAUUCUUGGUUUGCUUACAAAUAACUAACUAACAUGGCAGAAGUAGGAUAAAAGCCUUAUCUUCUGUCUUUGAGCCAAGAGUUUCUUCCAUUAUCUCAUAUUGUCUGAAGAUAUCCAGAAUGUCUGACAAAUCAGUUUUAUGAUUCCAAGGGCCAUAAAGAACAGUGGUGAAAUGACUACCCUAACACUGACACUCUGUACCAAGUAAAAAUAUUUUUUUAACCAUACAUAGUCUGCAGUGCAUCCAUGUUUUCUAAGGCUCCAGUACAAAUUGUUCCAGUAGUAUCAGAUAUUAUUCUGCAGAAAGUUCAGUCACAUCCAUGAAUAUUUCACACAUUUUGAUAAAAUUAUAUAGAUUCCUUUGCCAUAGAAAAACUACAGUUUUCUAAACAAAUAACCAAAUAAAACUAACAAACAAAAGCAGGAACCACAGACAAAAGAAAUAAAUGAAAACAGAGUUAAGUUUCAAGCACAUGAUAGGUAGCAAACCAGAAGAGAGAAAGUAGAGGAAAAGUUAUAUUUCAGCCUAUUGUUUUACAUGAAAUCAUCAAACUGAUUUCAGAAUCUCUAAAUUUUUUCAAACUGUAUGUAGUGAUGGGAUAUAACACUUUAUGGUAAUUUAAUUAUAUUAGAUUUAUUAAAGAUACAUUGAACCUGCCAUGCAUAUAUAAUAGAACCAUAGUUUUACAUUUGACAUGAAUAUACUGCUGUAUUGAUUGCUUUCCCAAGAUGGCCAAAUAGGAACAGUUCCGGUCUGUAGCUCCAAGCUUGAUAGAUGCAGAAGACAGUUGAUUUCUGCAUUUCCAACUGAGGUACAUGGUUCAUCUCAUUGAGACUGGUCGGAAGGUGGGUGCAGCCCAUGGAGGGUGAGCCAAAGCAGGGCGGGGCAUUGCCUCACCUGGAAAGUGCAAGGGGUUGGGGGAUUUCCCUUUCCUAGCCAAGGGAAGCCAUGACAGACUGUACCGGGAAAAUCGGGACACUGCCACCUAAACACUGCAGUUUUCCAACAGUCUUAGCAAAUGGCACACCAGGAGAUUAUAUCCCAUGCCUGGCUCAGCAGGUCCCAUGCCCAUGGAGCCUUUCACACUGCUAGUCUGAGAUCAAACUGCAAGGCAGCAAGACUGGCUGGGGGAGGGCUGUCUGCCAUUGCUGAGGCUUGAGUAGGUAAACAAAGCAGCCAGGGAAUCUCAAAUUGGGAGGAGCCCACCACAGCUCAAUGAGGCCCACCUACCUCUGUAGUCUCCACCUCUGGGGAUAGGGCAUAGCUGAACAAAAGGCAGCAGAAACUUCUGCAGACUUAAACAUCCCUGUGUGACAGCUCUGAAGAGAGCAGCAGUUCUCCCAGCAUGCUGUUUGAGCUCUGAGAAUGGACAGACUGCCUCCUCAAGUGGGUCCCUGACCCCCGUGUAGCCUAACUUGGAGGCACCUCACAGUAGGGGCCAACUGACACCCCAUAUAGCCAGGUGUCCCUGUGAGACAAAG